AGCGGCGGACGGGUGAGUAACACGUGGGUAACCUGCCUGUAAGACUGGGAUAACUCCGGGAAACCGGGGCUAAUACCGGAUGCUUGUUUGAACCGCAUGGUUCAGACAUAAAAGGUGGCUUCGGCUACCACUUACAGAUGGACCCGCGGCGCAUUAGCUAGUUGGUGAGGUAACGGCUCACCAAGGCGACGAUGCGUAGCCGACCUGAGAGGGUGAAUCGGCCACACUGGGACUUGAGACACGGCCCAGACUCCUACGGGAGGCAGCAGUAGGGAAUCUUCCGCAAUGGACGAAAGUCUGACGGAGCAACGCCGCGUGAGUGAUGAAGGUUUUCGGAUCGUAAAGCUCUGUUGUUAGGGAAGAACAAGUGCCGUUCAAAUAGGGCGGCACCUUGACGGUACCUAACCAGAAAGCCACGGCUAACUACGUGCCAGCAGCCGCGGUAAUACGUAGGUGGCAAGCGUUGUCCGGGAAUUAUUGGGCGUAAAGGGCUCGCAGGCGGUUUCUUAAGUCUGAUGUGAAAGCCCCCGGCUCAACCGGGGAGGGUCAUUGGAAACUGGGGAACUUGAGUGCAGAAGAGGAGAGUGGAAUUCCACGUGUAGCGGUGAAAUGCGUAGAGAUGUGGAGGAACACCAGUGGCGAAGGCGACUCUCUGGUCUGUAACUGACGCUGAGGAGCGAAAGCGUGGGGAGCGAACAGGAUUAGAUACCCUGGUAGUCCACGCCGUAAACGAUGAGUGCUAAGUGUUAGGGGGUUUCCGCCCCUUAGUGCUGCAGCUAACGCAUUAAGCACUCCGCCUGGGGAGUACGGUCGCAAGACUGAAACUCAAAGGAAUUGACGGGGGCCCGCACAAGCGGUGGAGCAUGUGGUUUAAUUCGAAGCAACGCGAAGAACCUUACCAGGUCUUGACAUCCUCUGACAAUCCUAGAGAUAGGACGUCCCCUUCGGGGGCAGAGUGACAGGUGGUGCAUGGUUGUCGUCAGCUCGUGUCGUGAGAUGUUGGGUUAAGUCCCGCAACGAGCGCAACCCUUGAUCUUAGUUGCCAGCAUUCAGUUGGGCACUCUAAGGUGACUGCCGGUGACAAACCGGAGGAAGGUGGGGAUGACGUCAAAUCAUCAUGCCCCUUAUGACCUGGGCUACACACGUGCCUACAAUGGGCAGGAACAAAGGGCAGCGAAACCGCGAGGUUAAGCCAAUCCCACAAAUCUGUUCUCAGUUCGGAUCGCAGUCUGCAACUCGACUGCGUGAAGCUGGAAUCGCUAGUAAUCGCGGAUCAGCAUGCCGCGGUGAAUACGUUCCCGGGCCUUGUACACACCGCCCGUCACACCACGAGAGUUUGUAACACCCG
rnacentral:rRNA from 1 species